UACGUAGGGAGCAAGCGUUGUCCGGAUUUAUCGGGCGUAAAGAGCGCGUAGGCGGCUUGGUAAGCCGGAUGUGAAACCUCCAAGCUCAACUUGGAGCGGCCAUUCGGAACUGCCAUGGCUAGAGUCUGGUAGGGGAACACGGAAUUCCUGGUGUAGCGGUGAAAUGCUUAGAUAUCAGGAGGAACACCAGUGGCGAAGGCGGUGUUCUGGGCCAGUACUGACGCUGAGGCGCGAAAGCGUGGGGAGCGAACAGG
rnacentral:rRNA from 1 species